AUUGAACGCUGGCGGCAGGCCUAACACAUGCAAGUCGGGCGAGCGGCGGACGGGUGAGUAAUGUAUGGGGAUCUGCCUUAUGGCGGGGGAUAACUACUCGAAACUGUGGCUAAUACCGCAUACUCUUGGAUCGGCCCAUAUCGGAUUAGCUAGUUGGUGGGGUAAAGGCUCACCAAGGCAACGAUCCGUAGCUGGUUUGAGAGGACGACCAGCCACACUGGGACUGAGACACGGCCCAGACUCCUACGGGAGGCAGCAGUGGGGAAUUUUGGACAAUGGGGGAAACCCUGAUCCAGCCAUCCCGCGUGUAUGAGAAGGCCUUCGGGUUGUAAAGUACUUUUGGCAGAGAAGCGGUAUCUGCAGAAUAAGCACCGGCUAACUACGUGCCAGCAGCCGCGGUAAUUC
rnacentral:rRNA from 1 species